rnacentral:rRNA from 1 species
GGGGGGGCCUAACUGGCAAGUCGAGCGAGCUUGCCUAGAUGAUUUUAGUGCUUGCACUAAAUGAAACUAGAUACAAGCGAGCGGCGGACGGGUGAGUAACACGUGGGUAACCUGCCCAAGAGACUGGGAUAACACCUGGAAACAGAUGCUAAUACCGGAUAACAACACUAGACGCAUGUCUAGAGUUUGAAAGAUGGUUCUGCUAUCACUCUUGGAUGGACCUGCGGUGCAUUAGCUAGUUGGUAAGGUAACGGCUUACCAAGGCAAUGAUGCAUAGCCGAGUUGAGAGACUGAUCGGCCACAUUGGGACUGAGACACGGCCCAAACUCCUACAGGAGGCAGCAGUAGGGAAUCUUCCACAAUGGACGAAAGUCUGAUGGAGCAACGCCGCGUGAGUGAAGAAGGGUUUCGGCUCGUAAAGCUCUGUUGGUAGUGAAGAAAGAUAGAGGUAGUAACUGGCCUUUAUUUGACGGUAAUUACUUAGAAAGUCACGGCUAACUACGUGCCAGCAGCCGCGGUAAUACGUAGGUGGCAAGCGUUGUCCGGAUUUAUUGGGCGUAAAGCGAGUGCAGGCGGUUCAAUGAGUCUGAUGUGAAAGCCUUCGGCUCAACCGGAGAAUUGCAUCAGAAACUGUUGAACUUGAGUGCAGAAGAGGAGAGUGGAACUCCAUGUGUAGCGGUGGAAUGCGUAGAUAUAUGGAAGAACACCAGUGGCGAAGGCGGCUCUCUGGUCUGCAACUGACGCUGAGGC